rnacentral:tRNA from 1 species
ACAUGGCGCAAUUGGUUAGCGCACUUCCCUGAUAAGGAAGAGGUUGAAUGUUCGAGUCAUUCUGUAGAUA